CACGCAGGGAUCGAACCCGCGUCUCCUGUGUCUCCUGCGUUGCAGGCGGGUUCUCUCCCCCCUGAUCCAUCGGGGACGCCCUGCGGCAGAAAAGCAGGUCAUUGUGGAGGGCCAGGCUCCCACGUCUUCAUGGCUGGAAGACCACGGCAGGGAACCCGCAGGUGACUCACGCCCAGCCCGGCGUCGUGGGGAGGGUGGAGGGGCACCGUCUCCGUCUUGCACAAGCAGCGCUUCCCCGUCUGCCGGGAAGGCGAUGCGGUCACUCCGCGGCAGGAGGUCUCCGGCCGGCUCGGUCCGCGGUGCAGCCGUGCUGGGCGGGCUGCGCGCCGCGGGCGGUGCGGGCCGGGCAUCGCCAUGUCCCCGGGCGGCCCUCUUCUGCUCGGGCUUGGUGAGCGGGCCGUCCUGUGGGAGGCUGGGGAGGGAAGAAGGCGCCGAGGAGGGCUUCGUAAGCGGGUUCCUGUGCUGGGACUCCCCUCUGUGAGGCCCCGGGACGGGGAACUGCAGAGGAGUCGCCUGCGGGCCGCGUUUCCCGGGUUCUCGGUGUGGAUGUCACACCCCGAGCUCGAGGCGUUUGGGUGUUAUCGGCCGACCUCUCUCAUCAAGUGUUUCUUUGUUUCAGUGUUUUGCUGGGACCAAGGGAUUUGGGCACAGACUGACCUACCUGAAGUCUACCAAAACCCUCCUGACGAAAGAUCCCUUCCCGUCGUGGCUGGGACCUCCGCCAUCGGGGUCCUCCCUCUCCUCUUCCUCCUCCUCUUUUUUCUCUGCCUGUGCUGCUGUGGAGGCCAACACGGUUCCAGUGAUAAUGAGACCAAGAGCCAGCUGGAUUUUAACAGCUCCAACCCUGGCAUGGACUUCUCAGAAGAAAAUCCGGACGGUGUCUCGGUGCACCUCCCGCUAGAGGAGGACAGGCAGACGGACAUGCAGGUGCGUCUCCCCGGCCCCUCCCCCGGCCCCUCCCCUGGGGCUCGCCCCUCACUUUGCGUCUCCCAGGUCCACCCCGAGGAAUGCCCGUGGGGCUCUUCUGAGUCCUCCGCUGAGCCGCACCAGGAUUCCUUCACGGAGAGUGAGGUUUCACUCCCGUCUUGCAGCCCUGAGGACUCCUCAGUAUAGCCCCGCAUGGACCCGCCUUCACCUCGUCCAGAGAGCGGAGCUGGAGCUGGCUGUGUGCACUCCACGGCGCAAGGGCCCCUUAAGGAGUGUGCGGAUUCUUUUACCACUGCGAGACGUGGGAAGCCCCAGUCCUCAUUUUGGAGCUCCCCGAAGACUCAAGAAUACAGAAGCCUUGUCAGUUGUCAAGAAAUUCUGGGAUACGAGAGAUGGGACAUUUCCUGCCGUAUCAGUGAACAAAGGGUAUCACAGUCACGAGCAAUGACGGCCACCACGGCUGCUGAGCUGGUGAGCCCUGAGGGCACUCGGAAGGAAAGGACACGGCCGUCUAGCAGCCAUCAGACUGCUGCCACACUGAGGGUGAGCCCAGAGCGGACUCGGUAUGUGAAAACAGCAGGAUCCUGGUGCCAGACAGCUGAGGCGCGCAUCGAAGCAAUGAUUUCAGUUAGCCCAGAUGCGUCCAUCUUCCCAUACGUAGAAAAGCGCUAAAUUCCUUAACUUGGGAUAGCUGGUUUUCUUUAAUUGGCAGUAGCGUUCGAGGUUCAGAUUAUCUGCCUUUUGUUGCGAAGCUUCUUUAUUACCUGCCUCCUCCCCUCUCC